AGUUGUAAAAUUAUCAAAUUAUGAAAAUAAAUAAAACAAUCUGCUAUUUGAAUGUUUUUGACAGAAUAAUUUAACUUCAGAAAUCUGUAACCGUUAGAAAAAUGAACGGUAUAACAAACGAAUUAAUUGAAUAAAAAAUCCAUCUAAUAAGGUAAGAGUCUUUAUCAUACUUAUUUACAUAUAUUUUACGUUAAUACUAAAGAACAAAUAUUUUAGUAUGGCAGAUUCAUAUAAUUUAGAAUAUUCUGUAAAAUUGUAUUAAGUUAAUCUAUAUAAGCGGAGUUCAAAGCAUAACAAAUUUAAAAUAUUCCCCUCAAAGUCUAAAAAUACUUUAAUAAAUAUCGCUUCAUCGUCGUGUCUAAAAAAAAAAAUCCACCCUUAUAAGAUUUUCCUUGUCAAAACGUCUGUUAUCCAAAAUAAUACUCGACUAGGACGCAUUGCUACAAUAGCUGUUGGACCUAAUAUAAAUGGUAAUUUUGUACCCACCAUGUUUCGUAUGUCAUAGACUUAAUAAAAUACCUUAAGCGACAUCAUGAUGACGCAUAUAUACCGUAAAAGUACAUUGUGAAUUUUUAUAAUUUUAUAUAAAUAUUAUUGUGUGUGUAUAAAUCCAGAAAGAAGAUUUAACUUUUUUAAUUCUUCGUCAAAACUGCCUACUCUUGUUGAUCUUACUUUAUCCACGUCCACUUUGCUUCAGUCUCCAGAUUAACAUUAAUAAAAUACAUCUCACCCUGACAACGGCUUUAUAAGAUAUAAUAUUAUUAAGUUUAUUGCUGUAUUCAGAAAGUCUCUAGAGACUACUCAGCUACAGUAUUGGUAAUGUGAUUUAUAUACUAGAUCUGGUCAUGUCUAUAUAAUUUACGUCGAGAUAUCUAUGUUUUCGUUAUUUCGAGUACAUUGUAUUAUAUUUUUAUUAAAUAAGGAAUUAAACAUUUGGAGCCAAAAAAAAAAGUUGUCAAAUAAGUUUACACUAUAAUCCUAUUAUUUAAAAAAAAAUGUUAUAUUGUGAUAAGAAAUUUAAUAAAAACGUGUAAAAAUCGAUUUUUCUGUGCAUCAUCUUACGAUACGCUGCUGCCAUAGUGAAACCAGUCAGGGUUGAGUGGAGAUGUAUGGAACAGUGUAUUUUCCCUUACUAAACAGAGUAUUAUCAAGUUACUCAAAUAAAAAGAUAUUUAAAACUAAAUUGAAUAUUUGUUAUUUUAUAUUAGCUCAUCAUCAUUAAUGAGAUACAAAUAAUAAUUAAAGUAUAUAUAUGAGCUAAAAAAACUAAUUUUUCAUUGGGUUGUGGUUUUUAGAGUAAUUUUUUUUCACUUUAUUUUCAAAGUGUUAUUGUCCCGUUGUUUUUUUUUUUUUAUUCGUUGAUUGUGUUUAACUGCAAACAUAAUUGAAUUUCACAAUUUUUCUAGUUGCACCGAUAUACGCUUUUCGUUUCGACAACGUCCUCUCCGAGCAUGUGUGUGCACUCUGACUAUUACAUGGAGCUUAAUUGAUAAUCAAAAAGUUUACAGAAAAGAAAAAAUUCGAUCUGUCGAACAGCUGACAAUCGUAUAAGUUCAUCGCGAAAGUUUCCGAAGCACACCGCGAGACCCGAGAGAAAUGGUGCGUCAUUUCGAUGUAAUAAAGUAUAACGCCUGUCAAUAUUAAGGCAAGAUUUGGAAGUUCAUGGUAGACCCCGAAUAGCGUUAACGACUUGCCCUUCCACAUCCAGUGUCGUAGCUGUGAGGUGUCGGGGUCAUUGAUGGUGAUGGAACCAGAAACAUGGUCGGGAGUGGGUAACGGAAUUUUGCAAACGAGAAAAUAGAAAUAUUUUCUGUCCGUUUUAGGAAUUUAACUCGCCGGUGAACCCGUCGGAGAGCUUCUGUUUGACCGACAUGAAAUUGUUGCCAGCCAACGAACCGCCAAAUACCUUUGGCGUGAACGCCACGUAUGUGCUUGCACUACGUGUAUAUAGUCAAUUUUACGGCUUCACGAGCAAGACUUUUAUCUCGAACGGUUUUCUAAAAAUUGAAAAAAUCGUUUUCACAGUAGCUGGUAUUUUAUAACUCGUUGUCACAUAGUUGCGACAAUGCUUAUCGAGGAAAUAUUAGUUUCCUCAAGGUACAAAUUUUGCGUGAUUGGUGCGUAAAUAACUAUUAUAUUAUGUAUGGACUUAAAAAUUAUUCAUGUUACUUUUACCUUUUUAUGUAGGUAUAUACGUUUAUUUUCACAUAAUAAUUAUACAACUUUCAAUGGUAGCUGUUCUUCAACAAACAGAAUUUCAAUAACUAUACGAAAUAUAAAUCAUCGUUAUUGUAUACUUAUACGUAUUUAGUCAUUUCAUAUACAUAAUAAUAUAUAUGAUUUGAUACGUGAUAUACCUUUCCUUAGCUUUACCGUCUCAUUAAAUGUAAAUUUUAUUUUCAUGAAUAAAAACUAAAUUCAACGUUAUGUUCACUCGUUUCUGACGAGUAAGAAUUAAUUUGUAUCUGUAUAUUAAACAUAGACGAGUAUUGCGAAUUAAGACAUUAUCGGAUCCUUUUUAUGGGUAACGAAUUCAGAUUUUACCCUUUUAUCAGACUCCUAAGGCGUACAACGGCAGUGGUAGUGUAUAUACAGACGUGAUCGUUGUAUUUCAGUUGCGAGUGUACGUGGCAACGACUCCGUAGGCGAUUUAAUAACAAUCGUGUUAAGUAGUCAACGUUCGUUUAAAUCGAAAUUUACGCGUAUUUUAAUAACGUUCACGCGCGGUUUAUAUUGUUUGCCUGUAAACUUUCUCCCGGCUAUUUACGAAGAGCGCCGGUAGUAUCUCCGGUGACGUUUACAUCAUUACCACUGAAAUUUAAUUAAUUGCAUAGCCACAGAUACUGAUUUUAUAUCACCUUCUUACUCAUUCCCAAUGUCUUGCUCCGCGCUUUAACCUAACCUAACUUAAAUACUUAUUUCAUGUACAUUCUAUUUUUCUAUGCCAAAGAUGUGUCAUUUUUAAAAAAAUUUAUUGAAUAGAUACAUAAAAUACAACCAAAUUUUCGUCAGUAUUUAGUAAAAAAUUGUUAGCACAAUCAAUUUAUAAAAAUGCAUGAUAUUUUGUCUUUUUUAUAAUUUGUUACCUGAAUAUUUACAUUCAUGGUAUUUUCAAUUUUAAAAUAUUUCUUAAAUAAUAUAAUAUAUAAUGAGAUAAAUAAAGGAUAGACGUAAUACUGCACAAUGCGUAUUACUUCUUCUUGCUUAUUAUAAAGUGGAACAAAAACCUUAAGGGGUAUUAUGGAAACUUUUAAAUACAAACUGUUGUUCAACAAAUAAAAAAACUUUAGAUUCCGAUUAUUUAGAUAAAUAAAAAUAAUACAAUAAUAAGGAAACACUAAGAAAUGUUGGCUUCUUUGAAUUAUUUAAAUGGCUGCAGACUUUAAAAGCCUAAUAAUCUAUAAAUUUUAAAUUGAAAAAUAAAAAUCUACGUUAAAAAAAAAUAACCAAUUACUCGGAAAUUGAAACUUAAAACUUGCUUUUAUUUAAGUUUUUUGAGUUUAACUAAGGAACACGUCAGUUAUAUAAACUAACAAGCACAAAUGUUUAAAUAUAAAUAAAAAUAAUAAAGUUGGUAUGCGUUAUUUUAUAAAUAUGAAGAAAUUAUUAAUUUUUGUAAUGAUACCAUUUAUCCGUUAGCUGGCGCACUGUAUAGGCAAUUUCGGUACAUUGGCGUUAAAGUGACUUUCCAACAUACUUCAUGGAUUAUGAAAAUAUUUUGAUUUGAUGAUAAAAUAAUAUUAUUAUUAAACAUAGCACAUUUGAUAUAAUUAUUAUAGUAACCAGUCGAUAAAAUAACCCAAUGUAAAAUCAGAAAUACGGCAAUUGUUUGUCGAAAAUAUUUCACGCGAAAAAUAGUUGUUUUAUAUUAUUAUUAGUUUAUGCAUGUUAACUAUAAAAAGGUACAUUAAUUUUUAUACUUAUUUUGCAUUUGAAAAUUGUAUGUAAUUUUUUUAUUGUAUGUAAAAUUUAAAUAAUUAAUUUUUAUACAGUUAUUAUAAUUUUUACAUAUUUUUUUUUACAUUUAAGUGACAGAUAUGUUUUAUUAUUCUUAAUACUAUUGUAUAACUGAUUAGUUGUGGAAUUGUUGCGCCCCCAUUAAAAUAUAACUCAUAUAAAGUUAGGUUAUGAUAAGUUAUCAAUGAGUUUUUAAAACGUAUUUGUAAUAAGCCAUAAUUCAUAUUGAAUGAAAUAGUUGUUAAAGAUACCUAAUGCA